AAGAUUAAGCCAUGCAUGUGUAAGCAUGAAUCAUUUAAUGGUGAAGCCGCGAAUGGCUCAUUAUAACAGCCAUAGUUUAUUAGAUUUCUUUUUACUUGGAUAACUGUGGUAAUUCUAGAGCUAAUACACGCAGCCAAGCUUCGACCUUACGGAAGGAGCGCAUUUAUUAGAACAAAACCAAUCGUACUUCGGUACGUCACUUGGUGAAUCUGAAUAACUUAGUCGAUCGCAUGGUCUUUGUACCGGCGACGCAUCUUUCAAGUGUCUGCCUUAUCAACUUUCGAUGGUAGUUUACGCGCCUACCAUGGUUGUAACGGGUAACGGAGAAUCAGGGUUUGAUUCCGGAGAGGGAGCCUGAGAAAUGGCUACCACAUCCAAGGAAGGCAGCAGGC
rnacentral:rRNA from 1 species